UACGUAGGGUGCGAGCGUUGUCCGGAAUUACUGGGCGUAAAGAGCUCGUAGGUGGUUUGUCGCGUUGUCCGUGAAAACUCACAACUCAAUUGUGGGCGUGCGGGCGAUACGGGCAGACUGGAGUACUGCAGGGGAGACUGGAAUUCCUGGUGUAGCGGUGAAAUGUGUAGAGAUCGGGAGGAACACCGGUGGCGAAGGCGGGUCUCUGGGCCGAUACUGACGCUGAGGAGCGAAAGCGUGGGGAGCAAACAGG
rnacentral:rRNA from 1 species